UUGACUUGGUUCCCGUGUGUUGGUAGGAGCACACGUAAAAGUUUGUAGCCCAACCAAAUAAGAUGCAAAUUACCUAAAAUAUUGGUUAAUUUGGCUCUAAUGGAACUUUUUUUACAUUGAGUGUGUGAUGGUGUUAAAUUUUGUGAUGCUCCACGAGUGACUUUAGAACAGCUUGGUGUUUCCACAAGGAGAACCUAACCUCUACCUGAGCCCCAUCUCUCACAAUCGAGACUUCAAGCAGCCAGCUAUCUUGCUCUUAACUAUGGCUUUAACUCGUUUUUGGCAAGGAGAGCAAGACUGGGGAACCAUUACUCAUCUAAUAUUGAUGACUGACUGCUUUGAUGCACCUACCAGAUUCAGAAAAAAUAUCAAAGCAUUUGUAUCCUGAAUUAUUUUUUUUAGUUUCGUCUUAUGUUCUAAAUAAUACCUAACUUUUUAAGGGCACUACCAAAUCAGAUAAAAAAGAGUAUCUGUUCUAGUUGUACUUGUUAUGCAUUUUCAAUAGAUAAUGUAUUAGUUAUAAUAAAUUGUGAAUCUCUAUGGUUGGUA